rnacentral:rRNA from 1 species
AGUGAACGCUGGCGGUAGGCCUAACACAUGCAAGUCGAACGGCAGCACAGUAAGAGCUUGCUCUUACGGGUGGCGAGUGGCGGACGGGUGAGGAAUACAUCGGAAUCUACUUUUUCGUGGGGGAUAACGUAGGGAAACUUGCGCUAAUACCGCAUACGACCUACGGGUGAAAGCAGGGGAUCUUCGGACCUUGCGCGAUUGAAUGAGCCGAUGUCGGAUUAGCUAGUUGGCGGGGCAAAGGCCCACCAAGGCGACGAUCCGUAGCUGGUCUGAGAGGAUGAUCAGCCACACUGGAACUGAGACACGGUCCAGACUCCUACGGGAGGCAGCAGUGGGGAAUAUUGGACAAUGGGCGCAAGCCUGAUCCAGCCAUACCGCGUGGGUGAAGAAGGCCUUCGGGUUGUAAAGCCCUUUUGUUGGGAAAGAAAAGCAGCAGGUUAAUACCCCGCUGUUCUGACGGUACCCAAAGAAUAAGCACCGGCUAACUUCGUG